UAACACAAAAGUACAGUAGCUUAGCCAAAGAACAGAAGGGAAGGUUUUACAUCAUGAGAAGAGUGAAUAUUUUGGGAAAUCUGACGGUGGAGACUGCGGAACCAAGUGGCUAAGUAUGAACCAGAACUUUUGUGGCGACUGUUCGUUUUGAUCGAGGGAAAACUAGCCUUGCGGCAAGAUCUUUUUAGACGCUAAAACAAGAGGAUAAAUUAUACUCCCUCUGUUUCUAGUUAUUUGAUGUUUUAGGUUUUUUACUUGUUCCACCAAGAUUGAUGUUUUGUAAAAACAUCAUUAUUAUUUUUGUUUGUGACCAAUAGUAGAAUGAGGGAAGUAAAACUAAUACUCCAUCUGUUCAUAAAAGAUUGAUGUUCUAGAGUCUUCACAUAUAUUAAGAAGCAAUCAUUGUUUAA